UACGAAGGGGGCUAGCGUUAAUCGGAAUUACUGGGCGUAAAGCGUACGCAGGCGGCUUUGCAAGACAGGUGUGAAAUCCCCGGGCCUAACCUGGGAACUGCAUUUGUGACUGCAUCGCUAGAGUCUGUCAGAGGGGGGUGGAAUUCCACGUGUAGCAGUGAAAUGCGUAGAGAUGUGGAAGAACACCGAUGGCGAAGGCAGCCCCCUGGGAUGAGACUGACGCUCAUGUACGAAAGCGUGGGGAGCAAACAGG
rnacentral:rRNA from 1 species